rnacentral:misc_RNA from 1 species
ACAAUCCAAAUGACUGUUGGUCUCAAAAACCAACAGUCUAACCUUCUUGUGAACUGUUUAAUGUUUUUUGGUUGGGAGUAUAACUGAGAUGUCGGCUUUUGUUGGCGGAUCAACUCCCAAUUGAAUAUCUUUAUACAAACUAUUUAUUUUUAAAGUUGAUUAUUUUACAGAUAACUGUACUAAUAUAAAUA